UGAAGAUCCUUAUUCUUAAUAUUCCAUAUUGGCAUCAGAAAAAGGAAAAAAGUCAAAAGUUAGUGAUGAGGUGCCAAAAGCUCUACGUCUUAACCCCUUACUUUCAUCAGAAUGCUGUCCUAGCAUAAAGUGACAUCAUCAGAAGUCUUGAAAAACACCGCGGUGUGGCAUUGCAUAUAAAGUGAGGCUCAGAAAACUAACAUUUUGGAUCCAGUAAUGCUGCUCGAAAUCACCCUUUGAUGAGAAUAAUUGGAAAGGAACAGACAUGGCAAAACCCAAUUAAUUUGCAACUUUGGUUUCUCUGAUUAUGUCAGUGACAUGAGCAAUUUUUGACAUGUUUUGUUCAGAAGAUUUUGUUUCUAAAUGGUAAACAUAUGAUUUUUAAAUUUUUUAAGAAAAAAUACAACUAAUAAACACUGAAUAUAUGGAA